rnacentral:rRNA from 1 species
UACAGAGGGGGCAAGCGUUGUUCGGAAUUACUGGGCGUAAAGGGCGCGUAGGCGGCCUUCUAAGUCGAACGUGAAAUCCCUGGGCUCAACCCAGGAACUGCGUCCGAUACUGGAAGGCUUGAAUCCGGGAGAGGGAUGCGGAAUUCCAGGUGUAGCGGUGAAAUGCGUAGAUAUCUGGAGGAACACCGGUGGCGAAGGCGGCAUCCUGGACCGGUAUUGACGCUGAGGCGCGAAAGCCAAGGGAGCAAACAGG